rnacentral:rRNA from 1 species
UGAGGAAUAUUGCACAAUGGGCGCAAGCCUGAUGCAGCAACGCCGCGUGAGGGACGAAGGCCUUCGGGUCGUAAACCUCUUUUUUGGGGGACGAGUAAGGACGGUACCCCAGGAAUAAGUCUCGGCUAACUACGUGCCAGCAGCCGCGGCAAAACGUAGGAGGCGAGCGUCAUCCGGAUUUACUGGGCGUAAAGCGUACGCAGGUGGUUUCGUUAGUCGGACAUGAAAGCUCCUGGCUUAACUGGGGGAGGUUGUUCGGUACUGCGGGGCUUGAGGUUGGGGGAGGGACGUGGGAUUCCCGGGGUGGUGGUGGAAUGCGUAGAUAUCGGGAGGGAAACCAGUGGCGCAAGCGGCGUCCUGGCCCACACCUGACGCUGAGGUACGAAAGCGUGGG